ensembl:lncRNA
AUCAGCUGGUGCAGGGUACGGUGGCCCAGCAGUCCAAAUCACAGAUCGUGACCAAGGAAGUAUGCGGGUUGGAAAAUGAGCAGACCCUUGGAGGUCUUGAUGUGUUAGCCAAUAUGGUUUCAACUGAUCUCCUGCUCCUGAGUAUCUGGGACUACAGGUGUGGACCACCAUGCUCAUUCUCUACGACUUCCAGUAUGAUGUUGACUAGGAAUGAUGAGAACAGACAUGUUUGCCUUUUUCUGGAUUUUGGUGAAGAAGCUUCCAGUUUCUUACAAGUUGCAUCCAUGCGCAUGUAUGUGGUGCUGGGGAUGGAACCCAGUGCCUUGCACAUGCCAGGCAAGUGCUCUACCACUGAGCUACACCUCAGCCCCCGUGUUGGCAACAAGUAAUUGUUGGAAAAAUCCAUGUGUCAAGGAACUGAAGGGUAUUAUCAAGCAGGAAACUGAGGCUUUCAGCCCAACAGUCUUUGAGGAAUCAAAAUCUGCCAGUUAUGAGAUGACCUUGGAAGUGGACCCUGCCUUUGUCAAGCCUUUUGAUGAGGCCCCGGCCCUAGAUGACAUCUUGAUUGCAGCCUUGUGAGAGACCAUGAAGAAGAGCACCCAGCCAAACUAUGCUUAGAUUUCUGACUAUGACCAUAAAAAAUUAUGGUUGUCAGCCACCAAAUUUGUGGUCAUUUGUUACUCAGUAAUAGGUAACUAAUACAGUAACCAUCUUAUAUAUAAGUUCCUCUAAUCAUCUUUUCUCUUCUAUAUUUCCCAUAACUGCAUUUUCCCUCCCUUGAGCCAACCCUGAAUUGCCUCACUGUCUCCAAAACCUUUCCAUUACACUCUCUGGAAACGUCACUGUAUAGUUAAGAAGCUCCCCUAUAGGUUAUAAAAUAUUUGAGUGAACAGAGAGACAUACCUGGUUUCUCGAUGGCCAGCCUCAAUAUUUAUAAAAAAUGUUAAUACUCUACAAAUUAAUUUAUACAUUUAAUGCAACUCAAUUUUAGAUGACAUUACAUUUCUAAUUAAUUGUAUCCCUUUAAAAGAAUAAGCAUCCAGAAAUAACCAGUAGAAUUCUAAAAAUGAGUAAUGACUAACAACCAGUAUUACUACUUAUUAAAAGACAUUAUGAGGCUAUAUUAACUAAAACACAGUGGUACUGGCUCAAAACUGACAACUAGAUUGAUGGAAUACAGUAGAAUGUUCAGAAAAAAUUAGAUCCAUGGAAAAUUUAGUAUAUUGCAAAUGACAUUUUAAUUUAUUCAUGGAAAGAUGGAUUGUGCAAUAAAU